GCUGGGGUGGUGGAAUUGGCAGACACGCAUGUUUGAGGGGCAUGUGGGUUAAACCGUGCGGGUUCAAGUCCCGCCCCCAGCA
rnacentral:tRNA from 1 species